rnacentral:rRNA from 1 species
GCAAGUCGAACGGUAACAGCGAGAGCUUGCUCUCGGCUGACGAGUGGCGGACGGGUGAGUAACGCGUAGGAAUCUGCCCAGUAGUGGGGGACAACCCGGGGAAACUCGGGCUAAUACCGCAUACGCCCUACGGGGGAAAGAUGGCCUCUCCUUGGAAGCUGUCACUAUUGGAUGAGCCUGCGUCGGAUUAGCUUGUUGGUGAGGUAAUGGCUCACCAAGGCGACGAUCCGUAGCUGGUCUGAGAGGACGAUC